GAGAAUAUGCCCUUCGGGGUAGAUCUCCCACCCUUUGUUUAUAUUACCUUUGUUGCUUUGGCAGGCCCGUCUUUGGACCACCGGCUUCGGCUGGUCAGUGCUUGCCAGAGGACCAAACUCUGUCAUUUAUGUCGUCUGAUUACUAUUUAAUAGUUAAAACUUUCAACAACGGAUCUCUUGGUUCU
rnacentral:misc_RNA from 1 species